rnacentral:rRNA from 1 species
GAUGAACGCUGGCGGCGUGCUUAACACAUGCAAGUCGAACGAUGAAGCCCAGCUUGUUGGGUGUAUUCGUGGCGCACGGGUGUGUAACACGCGAGUAAACUGCCCUUAUCUCUGGGGUAAGCCUGGGAAAAAGGGUCUAUUACCGCAUAGGGGCGCUUACCCCACGGUGGGUGGUUGAAAGAUUUACCGGUUUUGGAUGGACUCGCGGCUUAUCAGCUUGUUGGUGGGGGAAUGGCUCACCAAGGCGCUGACGGGUAGCCGGCCUGAGAGGGUGACCGGCCACACUGGGACUGAGACACGGCCCAGACUCCUACGGGAGGCAGCAGUGGGGAAUAUUGCACAAUGGGCGGAAGCCUGAUGCAGCAACGCCGCGUGAGGGAUGACGGCCUUCGGGUUGUAAACCGCUUUCAGUAGGGAAGAAGCGAAAGUGACGGUACCUGCAGAAGAAGCACCGGCUAACUACGUG